rnacentral:rRNA from 1 species
UACGUAGGGACCGAGCGUUGUCCGGAUUCAUUGGGCGUAAAGAGCUCGUAGGCGGCUUGUCACGUCGGGUGUGAAAGACCGGGGCUUAACCCCGGUUCUGCAUUCGAUACGGGCUGGCUAGAGUGUGGUAGGGGAGAUCGGAAUUCCUGGUGUAGCGGUGAAAUGCGCAGAUAUCAGGAGGAACACCGGUGGCGAAGGCGGAUCUCUGGGCCAUUACUGACGCUGAGGAGCGAAAGCGUGGGGAGCGAACAGG